rnacentral:sRNA from 1 species
AUUGAUGCCAUUGUUUAUAUCGAUAGAUCUUGGUGAUUGGAGAUGCAGGCGUGGGAAAAACAUCAUUCGUCCAAAAGUAUGUUUACGAUGUAUUCUCUGACAAAUAUAAAUGUACUAUUGGUUUUGACUCUGUGACCAAGAAAGUGACUGAACUCAAUCAGAAACCAGUGAACCUCCAGUUACAGUUUUGGGAUAUCGCAGGUCAAGACAGGUUCCCACUGCUGACCAGGGCUUAUUACAAAUACACCAGAGGAUGCCUGAUUAUAUUUGACCUUACAAACCCAGAGUCUUUCAAUGAUGUUAGGAAAUGGAAGGCCAGCUUGGACAAUAACCUCUCUGUGCCAUGUUUACUGGUUGCUAAUAAGGUUGACCUGGAGUCAGAAAGAAAAGUUUCACCCUCAGAUAUUGAACGUCUAGUCACAGAGCUGAACUUCUUUCAGUUCACAGAGACCUCGGUCAAGACAGGGCUGAUGGUCGAGGAAUCUGUCAUGUAUUUGGUUGAUGUAGUCCUGGGCAACUCACCAAGUACCUACACACCAAGUGAUUUUGAACACGUCGACCUGCGAGAAAUUAGGGAUCUUGAUACCAGUCAAACUAGAAAUGGUAAAAAAAAGUGUGCAAUAUGUUCGUGACACAGCCACAACUUUGGGACAAUUUCGUUGAAGUGACGGCUUGAGAAUCAUUGUCGAAAAAAACACUUCAGCACUUCAGUCUGAACUGGUAUACUUCAGUCUGAACUGGUAUAUCAGUUUGUGUACAAACUGUGUUGCAUUACCAGAAUUUUUCUUGGAGUAAUUUCUAAGUGAAUUUUUAUCAAGCACAACAGACUUGUGAAACUUGUAAGGGUAGUUUACCCUGUUACAUUUAAACUGAGCUACUGGCAAGUAGAGACAUCCCUUUGUGUCUUUGACAAUGAAUCUUGUGGAGGAUCGGCCAUGUUUGAUCACUCUAUCAUUGAAUUAGGCAAGUACUCUAGCCAUUGUGAAGUAAAGCA